rnacentral:snRNA from 1 species
AUGAUUUCUUUGGCUACACAUAUACUAAAAUUGGAUUCAGAGAAGAUUACCGUGACUCCUGUACAAGGAUGACCCACAAAUUUGUGAAGCAUUCCACAUUUUU